GAAUAAUCUAAGUUUCAGAGCAUCAUCAGUGAAAUUCUGAAUCUUGACAGUGGUGCAGAUUUCAAGGAAUUCAUCUAGGUGUUUAUAUGGGUCUUCGUUGGUGAGCCCGUAAAAAGAUGGAAACAUUUGGAUCACACUAGACUUUAUUUCAUAUUGUACAGCUGCUACCUCAGGUAAUCGAAUGCAAGAUGGAGAAGUGUAAAUGGUGGGAGUAAAGUACUCCCUCAGGAGUUUGGUUGUUCUUCAGCCAUCUUAAGAGGUGGGCAUGAUUCUAAUGUUUUGAUCUUAGCUCGAAUAUUCCUAAGGGUCCGUUCUAUUUCAGGGUCAAAAGGUAAUAGGUCAUGCACUCUAGAACGACUCCCUUGCAUAAACUAGUACUUGAUCAGUCAAGCAUGCAGUAAAAGAAAAACACAUCAAAUCCUUGUAUUUGCCCUAAAAUCACUAGACAGCUCCUAACUGGUUUGAAGAGGGCACCUAAGCCUCCAAUCCGGUCUAAUGAACUGAGUUGACCAGGUAAGCUCCCAGGUAAGUGGGGGG
rnacentral:lncRNA from 1 species